GACGAACGCUGGCGGCGUGCUUAACACAUGCAAGUCGAACGGAGAUUUUAGCAAUAGAAUCUUAGUGGCGAACGGGUGAGUAACGCGUAGGCAAUCUGCCUUCUAGAUGGGGACAACAUCCCGAAAGGGGUGCUAAUACCGAAUGUUGGAGUUGGUUCGCAUGGACUAGCUACUAAAGGUGGCCUCUGAAUAUGCCACCGCCAGAAGAUGAGCCUGCGUCUGAUUAGACAGUUGGAGGGGUAACGGCCCACCAAGGCUUCGAUCAGUAGCCGGUCGGGGAGAAUGAACGGCCACACUGGGACUGAGACACGGCCCAGACUCCUACGGGAGGCAGCAGUGGGGAAUCUUCCGCAAUGGACGAAAGUCUGACGGAGCAACGCCGCGUGAGUGAAGAAGGUUUUCGGAUCGUAAAGCUCUUUCGUUAGGGACGAACGUGCUCUUUGUGAAUAAUGAGGAGUAAUGACGGUACCUAAAUAAGAAGCCACGGCUAACUACGUGCCAGCCGCCGCCGUAACAC
rnacentral:rRNA from 1 species